rnacentral:rRNA from 1 species
UACGAAGGGGGCGAGCGUUGUUCGGAAUUACUGGGCGUAAAGGGCGCGCAGGCGGCUCUGAAAGUCAGAUGUGAAAGCCCCGGGCUUAACCUGGGAAUUGCAUUUGAUACUCUGGAGCUUGAGUACGGGAGAGGAGAGUGGAAUUCCCAGUGUAGAGGUGAAAUUCGUAGAUAUUGGGAAGAACACCUGUGGCGAAAGCGGCUCACUGGACCACAACUGACGCUGAGGCGCGAAAGCUAGGGGAGCAAACAGG